AACCUCCGCAAUGUGAGAAAUCGCGACGGGGGGAUCCCAAGUGCCAUUCUUAACGGGAUGGCUUUUCAUUAGUGUAAAGAGCUUUUGGAAUAAGAGCUGGGCAAGACCGGUGUCAGCCGCCGCGGUAACACCGGCAGCUCUAGUGGUAGCAAUUUUUAUUGGGCCUAAAGCGUCCGUAGCCGGUUUAAUAAGUCUCUGGUGAAAUCCUGUAGCUUAACUGUGGGAAUUGCUGGAGAUACUAUUAGACUUGAGAUCGGGAGAGGUUAGAGGUACUCCCAGGGUAGAGGUGAAAUUCUGUAAUCCUGGGAGGACCGCCUGUUGCGAAGGCGUCUAACUGGAACGAUUCUGACGGUGAGGGACGAAAGUUAGGGGCGCGAACCGGAUUAGAUACCCGGGUAGUCCUAACUGUAAACGAUGCGGACUUGGUGUUGGGGUGGCUUUGAGCCGCUCCAGUGCCGAAGGGAAGCUGUUAAGUCCGCCGCCUGGGAAGUACGGUCGCAAGACUGAAACUUAAAGGAAUU
rnacentral:rRNA from 1 species